rnacentral:lncRNA from 1 species
GUAGCCCAGUGGGGCAUGGCCUGCUGUCUCUAUUAUUGUCCUUGGCUCUGCUCAGGGUCUCUCCGGGUAGGCACAGCACGGCCGCCUGCUGCUAUCUGGGACGAGCCCUUCAGGGAGGCACAGUGCUGGGAUUCCCAGCCCAGGUCCUGGCCUGCGGCACCAGGGCCAGACCUGCCCUUGUUCAGCGCCUCACAGGGUGCGCUCCUGAGCAGCAGGCAGCACCAGUAACCAAGCGCCGCCUGCCAGGGCAGAAGGAACGCGGCCAGGGCCAGCCUAGGCUGGAAGAGGCGGGCUUGGGCCUGAAGAGUGGGGACAGCCCAUCAUAAACCCAGGGCUCAGGCUGCCCCUAUCUUGUUACCUUGGGUAAGAUGCACCCCUAAAUUGGCCUCCCUGUCCUCACUGGGGUAAAGUGAAAAUAAAAACAGCCACCUCUUUGGAAAGUUCAAGAGGGGAGGACUGCUUGAGCUCAGGAGCUUGAGACCAGCCUGGGCAACAUGACAAAACCCCAUCUCUACAAAAAAUACAAAAAUUAGCUGGGCAAGGCAUGCACCUGUGGUCUUAGCUACUUGGGAGGCUGAGGUGGGAGGAUCACUUGAGCUUGGGAGGCUGAUGCCAUGGCGAGGCCUGAUCUUGCCACUGCACUCCAGCCUUGACGACAGAGCAAGACCCUGUCUCAAAACAAAAACAAAACCAAAAACAAACCAGCCACCUCAACGGCAGGCCUGGGAUUUCACCAACACAACCCUCAAGGCAUGUGGCCCAGAGCCUGCCGCGCUGCUGCUGCUGCUGGUGAUUACAGAUAUUUCUGCAGGAGUUGGGAACUCAGACAGACGUGGGUUGAGUUCCUGGCUAACACCAGGCUAUCAUGAAUGAUCCGAGGAUGGUGCAUCCUGGUGCCCAUUACUGCCUGCAGCUCAAACCACCCAGCCAAGGAGCUGGAGGCACUUCUAAGGCAGAAGCCAGGUCUGAGACUUGGUCAUAGGAGCCCAGGCACACAGUGGCCAUGCCACAGAACUGCGUCUCUUGACCGGCUGCGGUGAGCUCUGGGCAGCAGGGCUGUGGGGGUCCAAUCACAGGCUCCAAUUGAGGUGAGGGCCCAAUGCCACCAUCCUCUAGCUGCAAAUCACUAAGGCAAUCACUUCACCUCUCUGGGCUUCCGUCCUCCAUCUGAGAAAUGGGGAUAACCACACCAGUUAGAACUACCCUGCCAGAGUCAUUCCGGGAAAAGACAGGCAUCUUCCAGGACAUCCCCCAUGCACUUUAGGAAGGAGCUGUUGGCCAGGCACGGUAGCUCACACCUGUAAUCCCAGCACUUUGGGAGGCUAAGACGGGUGGAUCACUUGAGGUCAGGAGUUCGAGACCAGCCUGGCCAACAUGGCGAAACCCCAUCUCUACAAAAAAUACAAAAAUCAGCAGGGUGUGCUGGCCCACACCUGUAAUCUCAGCUACUUGGCAAGCUGAGACAUGAGAAUCGCUUCAACCUGGGAGGUGGAGGUUGCAGUGAGCCAAGACUGUGCCACUGCACUCCAGCCUGGGUGACAGAGCAAAACUAUGUCUCAGAAAAAAAAAGAAAAAAAAAAAAAGAAGGUGCUGUCCUCCCUGGCGUCUGAGAUAAAGGCAAAUUAACUUUUGUCCUGCAAGGAACUCACCUGUGUGGCGGGGAAAGCUCUAAGGGAGAAGCUGCCUUACUCAACCCAAGCCAGGGGCGGGAGCAAGCCCUGAGUGAAUAAAUGAAUGCUAAAAAUAACAACAGCAGGAAAACUGCCUGUCAAAAAAAAAAAAAAGAUAAAACAUUAAAAAAUCCAGAUGAAAAUAAAGUGGAAGCUCUGAGGAAGCUGCCUGCUACAGACCUCGCUGCCGGAUCAAGAAACGGACGCUGGCCUCCGAAGGGCUCAGCACAUGCCUGAGGGGAGCCUCUGGUGCAUCAGGAGGUCAGGCCCAGGUUAUUGCCUGAUGGGAGUAGAUACUCCAGCACGCUGUUUGCACAAGUGAGGCAGUUUCACCAGAUUUCCAGGCGCAGUUCCAGGCUUUCUGGUGGCAUAACUGCUGCCCAGGCGUGGGAUCUCUUACCACACAAGGAUUCCUUCUGGGCAAUGAACAACAGCUAAUCCGAAGAUUCCAGAACUUCCUUUGCAAAGGCCAUCAGUCAAGUCAAGCUUCAAGUGAAUUCAACCAGUGCUUACUGAAAACUGACCCCAGAGUACCAGUGGCCUUCCUUCCUGCGUCUCCUUUACCCAGGCACUGAGCUGGGGAACAGGGAAUCUUCUCUGGUCCUCACAUCACCCUGAGAGGCAGCCGUGGCUCUCCCUGCUGUAUAGACAAAGUAAGUGGGGCUCAGUUCCAAGCUCCUGCCAGCAGGUGCUGGAGAUGGAGAUUGUCUGACUCCAAAGCCAUGCUCCUCCGAUUUCACCCAAGUCCAACCACCUACCACAUGUGCAAGAACACAGAAGCCUCCUGAAAAUCCCAACUCAGCAACACUGACCAGGGCUCAUGAUGUGCCAGGCACACUCCCAUGCAGGAGUGACAGAGCAGUGAGCCAAAACCCCUACCCCUGGAAAAGCUCAUGUUUUGAGACGCCCACCCAGGGAGGCAAGCAAGGGUGGAGUGGACCACCUUACUAGCUCGGCCCCUCGGCUCUCCAGACAGAACCCUUUGCCAUGGGCCUCCCCCACUGCCCUGCCCUGGCCAUGCCCAAAGUGUGGUGCCCUCCCAACCCCUGGGCUCUGGAAGCACUAACUCUCCUCCCAGGAAGCCCCGUCUCCUGGUAUCCACCUGGGCUGGCUCCUCAACUCAAGCUUCCAGACUCAGUGCAAGCUCAUCAGAAAGCCAUUUCUGCCCAUCCUUCCCCCACUCAGAGUUAGGUCAUCCUCCUCCUCAUCAUCCUCCUCGUCCUCCUCAUCAUCCUCCUCGUCCUCCCCCUCCUCCUCCCAGCUCUCUAUGCCCUCCUCAGCCAUACAGCUUGACGUUCACAAAGGAUCUAUGCUGAGACCUUUGCAAACACCGAUUCACAAAUCCUCCAGUAGCAUGGAAUUGCCAUACAAUGCAAAGAAAUAAAAGGGAAACAUUUAUGCCACCCUUCCACCCUUUAAUGAUUCAAUAAAUUCAUGGGUGAAGUCAUUUAUAAAAACUAUUAAAAUAAAUUCUUCCACCCAAAUAAAUUCUAUGCCACUUAAUCACAUCAUUACUGAACAUUAAACAUGCACUCACCGAAAUAGGAUAGAAUACAAAAAUAAUAAGGAAUGCAAAUGUUUGGUGUUUGCUGUGUCAGGUACCAGGCAAAGCUCUUUCUACAUUCACUUGCUUAAUCCGAACAAUGAGCCUAGGAGGCACACACCAAACAGUUCUCAUUGCUCAGGAAGGGAGCGGGGAGCAUGGACCUUGGAACUGGCUGGCAUUCGAAUCCUAGCACUAGCAUUUCUAAUGGUGUGACUGGGAAAGAAUGUUUCUACCUCUCUGUUUCCCCCUCUGGUACCCCAGAGUACCAGUGGCCUUCCUUCCUGCGUCUCCUUUACCCAGGCACUGAGCUGGGCAACAGGGAAUCUUCUCUGGUCCUCACAUCACCAUGCGAGGCAGCCACAGCUCUCCCUGCUGUACAGACAAAGUAAGUAGGGCUCAGUUCCAAGCUCCUGCCAGCCGGUGCUGGAAAUGGAGACUGUUUGACUCCGAAGCCAUGCUCCUCCGAUUUCACCGAAGUCCAACCACCUACCACAUGUGCAAGAACACAGAAGCCUCCUGAAAAUCCCAACUCAGCAACACUGACCAGGGCCCAUGAUGUGCCAGGCACACUCACAGGCAGGAGCAACAGAGCAGUGAGCCAAAACCCCCACUCCUGAAGAAGCUCAUGUUUUGAGACGCCCACCCAGUUUCCUCCUCUGCAAAUGAGGCUCAUUGUCCCCACCACAAGCCUGAACCCCAGGGCCUGGCCCAGAGCCAGGCACACAUUCUCAUUCUCACUUGCUGAGUGUUGAGUGUUGAGAUUCGUCCAGUCCAGUGCAGCAUCCUGAGCCAGAACAUAAGCAGCCACACUAUAAGUUACCUUCCUGGGUGUGUGAUGACAGUUAAGAUGCUGGUAACAUCUGUAUUUUGGAUUUUCUCUGCAAGACUUAUUUGGGACAAUACGUUCUUGGAUUGGUACCUGGCUUCUUGAUAGGAUCAUGACCUCAUAGAAUCACUGGUGCGACUCAACUCUGAUGCUUAAUUGAUCCACAAAUGGUUGUCGUGGCUCUGGAGGGACCAAAUGAAUGGGGAGCCUGCCUGGGCUGGUUGCACCGUUGUCCAUUUAGUUUGAAUAUAUAGAGGGCUUCCCGUGGAGGCUAGGAAUCAAGAAGAAUCCUGAUCCGGGUUCAGGGGAAUGAGGCGGGAGUGCUCUGAGGAUGCCGGAGUGGUGAUUAACACAAGGCAGGUGCUGGAGGAGGUGAGCAGUGUCCCCCGCACCAUGCAUUUCCAUGGGGCCUGGCUGAGGUCCUGCCAUGGGGUGUGCUGCAUAGGGCUGGGGCACAAGGGAGAAUGAGACCUCAUCCCUGCCCUUGGGGACAUGGGACUCCCAGGUUUGAGAAAAUUCAACCACACAAAUUAAAACGAUUACGA